rnacentral:rRNA from 1 species
GAUGAACGCUAGCUACAGGCUUAACACAUGCAGGUCGAGGGGAAACGGCAUUAAGUGCUUGCACUUUUUGGACGUCGACCGGCGCACGGGUGAGUAACGCGUAUCCAACCUUCCCAUGACUAAGGGAUAACCUGCCGAAAGGCAGACUAAUACCUUAUGGUCUUCACUGACGGCAUCAGAUGUGAAGUAAAGAUUUAUCGGUUAUGGAUGGGGAUGCGUCUGAUUAGCUUGUUGGCGGGGUAACGGCCCACCAAGGCAACGAUCAGUAGGGGUUCUGAGAGGAAGGUCCCCCACAUUGGAACUGAGACACGGUCCAAACUCCUACGGGAGGCAGCAGUGAGGAAUAUUGGUCAAUGGGCGAGAGCCUGAACCAGCCAAGUAGCGUGCAGGAUGACGGCCCUAUGGGUUGUAAACUGCUUUUGUAUGGGGAUAAAGUCAAUCACGUGUGAUUGUUUGCAGGUACCAUACGAAUAAGGACCGGCUAAUUCCGUGCCAGCAGCCGCGGUAAUACGGAAGGUCCGGGCGUUAUCCGGAUUUAUUGGGUUUAAAGGGAGCGUAGGCUGGAGAUUAAGUGUGUUGUGAAAUGUAGACGCUCAACGUCUGACUUGCAGCGCAUACUGGUUUCCUUGAGUACGCACAACGUUGGCGGAAUUCGUCGUGUAGCGGUGAAAUGCUUAGAUAUGACGAAGAACUCCGAUUGCGAAGGCAGCUGACGGGAGCGCAACUGACGCUGAAGCUCGAAGGUGCGGGUAUCGAACAGG